rnacentral:rRNA from 1 species
GGAAAAGAAACCAACAGGGAUUGCCUCAGUAACGGCGAGUGAAGCGGCAAACUAAAUUUGAAAUCUGGCCGCAAGGUCCGAGUUGUAAUUUGUAGAGGAUGCUUUUGGCGAGGUGACUUCCGAGUUCCCUGGAACGGGACGCCAUAGAGGGUGAGAGCCCCGUACGGUAGUGACACCGAGCCUCUGUAAAGCUCCUUCGACGAGUCGAGUAGUUUGGGAAUGCUGCUCUAAAUGGGAGGUGUAAGUCUUCUAAAGCUAAAUACCGGCCAGAGACCGAUAGCGCACAAGUAGAGUGAUCGAAAGAUGAAAAGCACUUUGAAAAGAGAGUUAAAAAGUACGUGAAAUUGUUGAAAGGGAAGCAUUUAUGACCAGACUUGGGCUUGGUUGAACAUCCGGCGUUCUCGCCGGUGCACUCUGCCAGCCUAGGCCAGCAUCAGUUCGCGCCGGGGGACAAAGGUAGCGGGAAUGUGACUCCCUCCGGGGAGUGUUAUAGCCCGUUGCGCAAUGCCCUGGGGUGACGAGGACGCGCUUCGGCACGGAUGCUGGCGUAAUGGUCAUCAAUGACCCGU